GCACUGUGGCGUGGCGGCUCGCGCUCCCCUCGGCGGGCCAUGGCGCGGGCCGGGGCCGCGAAGGCGCCGCGGCUGCUGCUCCUGCGCUCGGUCGCGCUGUGGCUCGCCCUCCUCGGCGCCCCGUCGGCGGCCGCGUCCAAGGCGGUGACCGCACACUUGGCUGCCAAGUGGCCCGAGACCCCGCUGCUGCUGGAGGCCAGUGAAUUUAUGGCAGAAGAAAGUAAUGAAAAGUUUUGGCAGUUUGUGGAAACAGUAAGAGAAUUAGCAGUUUAUAAGCAAACAGAAUCAGAUUAUUCUUACUACAACCUAAUCCUGAAGAAAACUGGACAGUUUUUAGACAAUAUACACAUCAAUCUCUUAAAGUUUGCUUUCUCUAUAAGGGCAUACUCUCCAACUAUUCAGAUGUUUCAACAGGUUGCUGCUGCUGAGCCUCCCCCAGAUGGAUGCAGUGCAUUUGUGGUUAUCCAUAGGAAGUACACCUGUAAAAUUAGUGAGAUUAAAAAGCUGCUGAAUAAGGCUGCUGCAAGACCCAGGCCUUACCUGUUUGAAAGAGAGCAUAAGUUUCCCACAGGCAAUGAGAACUUACCAGUGGUUAUUCUCUAUGCAGAAAUUGGUACAAAAGAAUUUGCUGAAUUUCACAGAGUGUUGUCUAAGAAAUCUAAAAGUGGUAAAAUUCUGUAUGUUCUCCGCCACUAUAUUAAGAAGCCAAGCUCCAGGAAGAUGUUCUUGUCUGGCUAUGGAGUGGAGCUAGCGAUUAAAGACACCGAAUACAAAGCGUUGGAUGACACACAAAUUAAAACUAUGACUGAUACUGCUGUAGAAAAGGAGACUGAAGCAGAUGAAGUUCAAGGAUUUCUCUUUGGGAAACUAAAAGAGAUACAUUCAGAUCUUAAAGAUAAUCUUACAGCAUUCCAAAAGUACUUGAUUGAGAGCAGCAAACAAAUGAUGCCUUUGAAAGUCUGGGAAUUACAAGAUCUUAGUUUUCAAGCAGCCUCUCAAAUAGUGUCCACUCCUGUUUAUGAUGCCAUAAAACUAAUGAAAGAUAUUUCACAGAACUUCCCCAUAAAAGCCAGAUCGCUGACAAGGAUUGCUGUAAAUGAACUAAUGAGAAAAGAAAUAAAGGAAAAUCAAAAGGACCUGCGAGAUAGAUUUGAAAUUAAGCCAGGUGAUGCUCGUCUCUUUAUAAAUGGCCUUCUUGUUGACAUGGAUGUUUAUGAUCCUUUUAGUAUUUUAGAUAUGCUGAAAUCAGAAGGAAAACUGAUGAGUGGCCUUAAAAAUCUUGGGCUCAGUGAAGAAGAUAUGAGCAAAUUUUUAAAGUUGAAUUCUCCUGUUUGGAACUAUGACUAUGUUUUAGAUAUUCGGCAUUCUUCAAUAGUGUGGAUUAAUGACUUAGAAAAUGAUGGUUUGUAUAUUUCUUGGCCUACAAGUUGCUGGGAAUUUCUGAAACCAGUGUUACAUGGAACAGUUCCAUCUAUAAGGCGUAAUUUUCAUAAUCUGGUUCUGUUUAUUGACCCUGCUCAAGAAUACACCCUGGACUUCAUAAGAUUGGCAGAAUUUUUUUAUUAUAAUGAAAUGCCUCUUAGAAUUGGUUUUGUGUUCAUUCUUAAUGUUGAUAAUGAAGUUGAUGGAACAACAGAUGCUGGAGUUGCUCUUUGGCGAGCUUUCAAUUAUAUUGAAGAAAAAUAUGAUGUAUCAGAAGCAUUUAUCUCCAUGACGCAUAUGUACGAAGAAGUGAAGGGUCAUCGUGUACUCACUGUGGAUAACGUGAAGAACAUUCUUCAAAAUAAAUCCCCUUAUGCUGACAUUUUGGAUAUUUUGGGACCCCAUUCCAAAUAUGACAGAAGAAGAACGGCAGGAACAAGCUUUUAUAAGAUGACUGGCCUAGGUCCUUUGCCUCAAGCUCUUUAUAAUGGUGAACCCUUUGACCUCAAAGAGGUGAGCACUGAAGAGCUGAAAGGGGCUGUUCUGGGAAAAAUGAUGGAUGCGUUUGUGUAUCUGCAGAGAGAUGUUUUCAUGGGCACAUUAAAUGAUGAAAUCAAUGCAAUUGAUUUCCUGAUGGAUAAGAAUAAUGUUGUACCCCGUUUAAAUUCUUUGAUUUUGCACACUGAACCACAGUACCUUAAUUUAUUAUCUUCAUCAGUAACUGCUGACAUUGAAGAUUUCUCUACUUUCUCUUUCUUGGACUCACAAGAUAAGAGUGCUGUGAUAGCAGAAAGCAUGCAGUAUUUAACCCAAGAAGAUCCUGUGAUAUCUGCAGUCACUCUGUGGAUUAUUGCUGAUUUUGAUGUGCCAUCUGGGAGAAAACUGCUUUUGAAUGCAUUAGAGCACAUGGAAACAAGUGUUCAUAGUCGGUUGGGGAUCAUUUAUAAUCCUACAUCAAAGAUAAAUGAAGAGAACACAGUCAUUUCUAGAGGAAUUCUGGCAGCUUUUCUUACACAUAAAAACAGCCUUUUGAGAAGAUUUCUCAAAAAACUGGCAAAAGAAGAAACUGCUGAAGCAAUUUAUUCUGGAGAUAAAAUUAAAACAUUCCUUACUACGGGGAUGGAUAAGAAUGCUUUUGAGAAAAAAUACAACACCGUUGGAGUGAACACAUUCCGGACCCACCAGUUAUUCUGUCAAGAUGUGCUUCAACUGCAACCUGGCAAAACUGGAAUUGUCAGCAAUGGGAGAUUCUUAGGACCUUUACUUGAAGAAUUCUACCUAGAAGAUUUUCACUUGAUUGAAAAGAUCACAUUUAGUAAUUCAGUAGAGAAAAUCAAAGACAUUGUUGAAAAUAUGGAAAUCAACUCAAAACACAUGAGCGACCUUGUGAUGAAAAUUGAUGCGCUUGUGUCUCCAUUGCCUGUGCGUGCCUCUCGAUAUAAUGUCACAUUACUCAAAGAGAACCACAGUGUUAUAAAGAUAAAUCCCCCGGAGAAUGAUACGUUCUUUGAUGUCGUUGCUAUUGUGGAUCCUCUGACCAGAGCCGCUCAGCAGAUGGCACAGUUACUGGCUGUCCUUGGCAAGAUUGUGAAUGCAAGGAUAAAGCUGUUCAUGAACUGCAGGAGCAAGCUUUCAGAAGCCCCUUUGAGAAGCUUUUACCGUUUUGUUCUGGAACCAGAGCUGAUGUCAGGAACUAACAAUAGUCCUUCUCGUGGACCAGUGGCAAAAUUCCUGGACAUCCCAGAAUCACACCUUUUAACUCUCAACAUGAUUACACCAGAAGGAUGGCUGGUUGAAAUAGUACACAGCAACUGUGACCUUGAUAAUAUUAACUUAAAAGAUACGGGAAGAGUGGUUACAGCAGAGUAUGAGCUGGAGCAUCUGCUGCUGGAAGGGCAGUGCUUUGACAGGACAACAGAGCAGCCCCCUCAGGGUCUGCAGUUCACGCUGGGCACAAAAAACAACUCUGCUUUAGUUGACACAAUAGUGAUGGCCAAUCUUGGAUAUUUUCAAUUAAAAGCAAACCCAGGUGCAUGGAUACUGAAAUUACGUGAAGGAAAAUCUGAAGAUAUUUAUGAAAUAGUUGGGCAUGAAGGAACAGACUCAGAGACGGAUGCUGGAGAUGUCAUUGUUGUGUUAAACACCUUCAAGAGCAAGAUACUAAAAGUGGAGGUAAAAAAAAAAUUAAGUAAAAUUAAGGAAGAUAUCCUUGCUGAUAAACAUGAAAACAGAGGCAUGUGGGAUUCAUUUAAAAGCUUCACACAAAGUCUACAUGAAGGUGACAAGAAGGAAAAUGACAUCCUAAACAUUUUUUCAGUUGCUUCUGGCCAUUUAUAUGAACGUUUUCUGCGGAUUAUGAUGCUUUCUGUUCUUCGGAACACCAAAACACCAGUGAAGUUCUGGUUUCUGAAGAAUUACCUCUCGCCAACAUUUAAAGAGGUGAUUCCUCACAUGGCUAAGGAAUAUGGAUUCCAAUAUGAACUUGUCCAAUAUAAGUGGCCCCGUUGGCUUCAUCAACAGACUGAAAAGCAAAGAAUCAUUUGGGGUUACAAAAUUCUUUUCCUUGACGUCCUUUUUCCACUAGCAGUGGACAAAAUUAUAUUUGUUGACGCUGACCAGAUUGUGAGACAUGACCUAAAAGAGCUUCGAGAUUUUGAUCUGGGUGGAGCUCCUUAUGGAUAUACUCCAUUCUGUGAUAGCCGCACUGAAAUGGAUGGAUAUCGUUUCUGGAAAACUGGAUAUUGGGCAUCACAUCUUAUGAAAAGGAAAUACCACAUCAGUGCCUUAUAUGUGGUGGACCUCAAGAAGUUCAGGAGAAUCUCAGCAGGUGAUAGGCUUCGGGGCCAGUACCAAGCUCUUAGCCAAGAUCCAAAUAGUCUUUCAAACCUAGAUCAGGAUCUUCCCAACAAUAUGAUUUAUCAAGUUGCCAUUAAGUCUCUUCCUCAAGACUGGCUGUGGUGUGAAACCUGGUGUGAUGAUGAAUCUAAACAAAGAGCCAAAACAAUUGAUCUGUGCAAUAAUCCCAAAACAAAAGAACCCAAACUAGAAGCUGCAGCAAGGAUUGUCCCAGAAUGGGUCGAAUAUGAUACAGAAAUACGAAAAUUAUUAGAUCAUCUUGAAAAUAAGAAAAAUGCAAUUUCUGUACAUGAUGAACUCUAGCACUGGUUUCCAGAAGAUAAACCACGAUGAAAACCUGCCACCUGCUGAGAAUUUGUGGAACUGCUGAAACUAGUGAAGCCAAGACUCUACUGGGGCAUUUGUGUGAAGAAUCUGUGGUGUUUGGUCAGUUGGAGCUGAAGAAUUAGCUAUGAUGAACAAGAGACCAGGACCACUAAAGUAGAACCUUUGUUUUACUGGAACAAUGGAUGCUGGUCAGCUGGGGAUGAAGAGCCAGCUGUGGUUAAGAAGAGACCAGAAUCAAUGAGGUGAAGUGUUUCCUGAGAGUCAGUACACAAGCUGUGUCCUAGAGGUGGCCUAGGCUGUACCAAGUGCUGACAGUCAAACUUGAUAAUGUGUAAGACUCCCAGUUGGUACUGGCUUUGAAGGCAUGAAGGGGUCAUGAAGAACAGCUAACUAAGGCUUGGCACUGAGAGCCAGGCGAAGCCACUCAUAAAGGUGCAGCCUCAAUAGCAGUUGAAGUCUCUGGAUUGAAGAGGUCAUGCUGAGAAGUUGAGGCUUGGCACCAUGAAGUGGGCCCAGGAGACACUCCUGGUGAAAGUGCAGGAUUUUGGAGAUGCCAGUCCCAUGGGACAACCACCACCAGCAGCAGCAGCUGUGCAGUGGGACCAGCCUGAGCCUAGAGGACAAGCUGUGUGCUGCAGAUCCAGAGAAGUGACCCAAGCCCUUGGAAGAGCCCCUGAGAUUGAGGGAGGGUGAAUCCCAAAUAUUGGACAUUGAGUGAGUUAUACUGUUGGGAUUUGGUUUACUUUGAUCUGAUUGAGCCCUGGUUCUUCCCUCUUGAAAUAACUUACUUUUUACUUUAUAGGAGUGUCCCACACUUCAGAGACAUUUGACUUUAAAAGACUUGGGAUUUUUUUGUUUUUAAAGACUGAAUUUUUUAAGUGUUUGAAUUUGUAAGAUUAUUUGCUGUGAAACAAUCUUUUUUUACACUGCGACUAUGUAUUAUCAUUGGAUUAAUAAAGAGCUAAUGGCCAAUAGCUAGGCAGGAGGAAGUUAAGCAGGACUUUCAGACAGUAAAAAAGAGAGCUGGGGGAAGGAGGAGGCAGAGUCACUGGGAGUCACCAGCCUGAUGCAGAGGGAGCAGGAAAUGAACAUGCCAUGUUGAAAAAAAGGUACCAUCAUGUGGUAGAGUGUAGACAAGAAAUAUAGGUUAACUUAAGGUGUAAGAGAUAGUAAUAAGUCUAAGCUACUGACAGAGCAUUUAUAUUAAUAAGUCUCAGUCAUCAAAGAUCAAUCUGGGAUAGUGGCUUGAGAUGAAUGAUGCAGACUCUCAAGGGAGAAGAAGCAGGAUUUUUUCUUAAAUGGUUACAGAAAACUGAGAAACUAAAGAGAAGUGAGAAACUAAACUCCAGUAGGGGGAGGGCUUUCCAGAGAGCCAAGUCACCAAACUCCUUGUGACCUUGGUUUUUGUUUCUUUAGGGCCAUGGCAGGAACUGGACAAAAGCAGUAAGUGCAUGUUGAUUCUGUGUGUCGUGUACCCAUCUCCCAUUGAAAGAUUUGCUCAAAAAUAGGGGGAAAAGAAAAGGUAUGGGUUCUGGAGUCACUAGGAUAUAAACUGUAGGCUUGAAGGUAAUUGUAUACUUGCACCAGACUAUGAAGCCCAAAACAGUAGUAACAGGAGCUUGUGUCUGCUAAAGGAAAGCCAGAGCUCUGCCCUGAGGAAAAAAAUGACAAUGUCCCUCUGCUUCCGGCCACCAGGCAGCCCUGGCCUCUUUCACCUCCGACUUCUUCAGAAUAAGGCUGACCGCUUCUAUACUGCCAUGGUAUCAAGAUUACUACUAGGGAUUUGGAAAGUUUCUAAUCUUUCUGCACAAGUUUUAUAUAAAUGCAUUUUUCCUUCAAUACAAAAUAUAUAACUGAAAUCAAAAGCAGGCUUUGCUGUUGCUAGAAACUUACCUGAGCUGUGCUAUGGAACCUUCCUGUAACCAGAAGACAACAGAAAUGAACAGUCAGAGUUCAGAUGAAGGUACCUCUUAGACUUUAAUAUAAAAAUAGAAGAACAGUCCACUAUUUUAAGUCCCAAUUUCCUAGGAUUGGUGAGUUAAAAGAUUUGUAAACUUAUCUACAUUCUGUGCUCUGACCUUCCCUGUAAACUCACAUAAUGUAGGAAAGCCUUUUUGUCAACUCAGUCACUGAUUUUGUGUGAAGUAAAGUUGGAAAUAGACUUAAGAUGGACUUUCUUAGAAUUUUAACUCAAAGGUUAAACAUGAAUCAGAAGCAAGAAAGGAGUGGAUAUGACCAUAAAUAUUUUUAUUAAAUGUGAAAAUACACGGGCAUAAAAAUAUUGCCCAUAUUCAUAGACAUGUAUGAGCCCAGUUGAAAUAAUUUUAGUUCCUUUUUUUUUAUUAAAACACUAAAUUGAGAUGGAUUAUUAGGUCUUCCCCAUUUAAAACAAAUAUAAGCUUAGGAGUAAUAUUUAACUUAUCAAACAUCUCUAAUUUUUACUUCCCCUAUGCCCUGUACUCUUUUGCACAGGUAAAUAUUUCAUCCACAGACGAGUCCAAUAAGCCUGUUGCUACUGUACACAAAGCCACGCAGUGGCUAAUUUUACUCUUAAAUCAUUCAGCAAAUGAGAUCAUCUGUUAAAAAAAAUUAUCUCCCCCUCCUAGCAUCAUUUGAAAUUAGAGUAAACUGCUACUAACAGAAAAGGAACGCUAUGAUCUGGAAAAAGAGAUUCAUUCUUAAAAAUCGUCACUUGCCUUCUCCUCCCUUGAUCACUACAGAAACAUCAAAUACACUCAGGAAAAUCGCCCUGACUUCGUCCUACCUCAGUGAUGUGUACUUACUAAAAACACUGUAAAAGCCAUCAUCUAAGUGCCUAUAUCUAUGAGGCAGGUUGGCACCCCAGUGGCCUGAGAAGUGAUUUCUAACCAAUACAUCUUCUCUCUUCAUGGUAAGCGACAACUUCUGACCAAGUUAAAGCCUUUACAUAUGAAUGUUAUCUUCCAGGAAUAAAUAAUAGUGACAACUGAUGUUUUUUCUACUUGGUUAUCAAUAAUUCUUUCUCACACUUUUGUUGUGUGCAUAAGUUUGGUACUUUUAAAAGAGGGGAGGGCCUCAAAGUCACAGUGACUUCUUAUUGCAGCCCCCACAUUCUGAGAUUAGUCAUAAGCCAGCAUGCCUGCUUACAUUUGAAAAACAUUUUUAAUUCCAUUCAUUAUCAGAACUCCAAUGACUAAUCUCCACACUGUUAUUUAAAACACUACUAGGGGUAUUUUUAAAUUAAGAUGUUAUAUCCAAUGCACAUUAAUUAAACUACUGAGUUGGAUUUUUUUUUCCAGGUUUUCUUCUAUUCAUGGUCAGAAAGAGUAAACUUACAAAACUGAGAAGUGAAGGAAGUUGCCCUCAGGUAGCAGAUGUUUUCCUUCUUCCUGCAGUGAGGAGCACUGGAUGCAGCCCAGUGGUGCUGCCCGCCCUUAGGAAGCUCAUUAUAGGGAUGGAAAGGCUAGAAACAGAAUAGAGUUCAGCUAAGGUGAGCGUUGAUCCCAUUUUCCCCAGAAUUACCACAAAGGGUCUGUAGUUCCUAAAAACAAACCGGAAUGUGGAAGUAGCCCUGCAAAAAGGAAAAAGGGAAAGUGGAGAAUGUUUCUUCAGUAAUGUGGUUUUCCACUGCAUGGUAUACAGUGUCAGGCAGGUAGAAGGAACACUAAUCUGUUCCUCAUCUGGGAUAGGUUGGACACCAGGAGGCUGCCAACAGCAUCCAGGCAGGAAUUUACAGGUCAUCCCUAUCUUACUAAUCAGCACUGAGAUCUACCUUCAUCUUUCAUCUCCCUCCAUGGCAUCUGCCUUUGGCACCAAAGUUUGCAGUGAGCAAGACUAAUCAUGUUACUUUGGGUAGUUACAAGUAGGAGACAAAAUCAAAUAAAAACACCUUGAAACUCUCUGGGAAGCAAAUUAGGAGUCACUCACAGGUCCGUGCAGCCCAAUCUUCAACCAUGUCACUAUCCCUCUGACUCCAUGCUACUGGCAUCUUUCCAUCCGCUCUAAAUGGGAGAGUAAGCAACUUGAUGCUUCCUUGGUUCUGUAGGUGAAAAAUUGCACUUUGGAAUGUACACAGAUGCCAUCAAUGUAGUUCAAAAGUGUCAGUGACGUCACCCACAAAUGGAGUCAGAUUGACAAACAAUUGUGACAUCGUAGUUAAACACAAGAUUUGAAAAACAUUUUUCAUCCACUGUUUCACACUGGCUUGAGUUGAUUUGAUUUACGAUUUUGGUGGGGGCCUGGUAAGGCACUCACUGUGUAAACCAGGCUGGCCUGCUUCUCCUUGUCUCUAGUGCCAGUCUGAUUGGAAUUUGGGGACACUGAAGCAAAGUGAAAGCUGGAAGGCAUCUGAAAUGCACUGUGAAGUUUACUGGUGAGAAAGAGGCUCCUAAGUUCAGGCAAAAAGCACUUACAUGGUUUGCCCAACUCAACUAGGUGAUUUAUGUUCUCCCAUUAAAAAAGUCUUUUUCUAUAGAUGCUCAAGGAUACGACUAUAGGUUAAGAAAAUUAUUUGUGCUUGGAUGCUACAUUCAUGCCUCCCACAAUUAACUAAAAUGCUUAACUUCAUAAAAUCAAUAUAUUAAACCUUUAUACUUAAAAUAUUUCACAAUGUUUUAAGAAAGAAAAAAAACUUUCUAGAAUAAAGGUAAUAAUUCUUACCAAAGUAAUUCUUUUAGAUUUUCAAUGUAACAUCAGUAGUUCAUAAAUACUCAAUGUUCUUGAUUUAGCAAUAGAUUUUUAGGGGAAAAAAAUUAUCCAGUAUACAAAUCAUGAAUAGUAUAUUUCUUAAAGAGGUAUCUGCUUAAAAAUCAAGAGGGAGAUCUCAGGAGGAAACAGAAAAUGUCAUUUUUUUAAGUGAAAUGUUAGCAAGUACAUAGAGUUGAGUAGAUUUGCAAGCCUAUACUUUCUUCUAAGCAGAAAAACAAACCUGGGAACAUCCAGUCCUAGUAAGGCAGAUCUACUGACCAAAAACCAACAACCAAUACAACCAAGACAGUUGGGCUAAAUGUAAGAAAAGAGAAGAGACACUGAGAUGCUGCUUCAAGUGGGAAUCCUAAUGCUCUGCUUAGGCUUGCAAAGCAACUCUUCAUUUCUAGCAAACAACUUGGAACUUCACUUGUUUAAAAAGUAUUUCAAACUGACCUCCAACAGUAUUGUCUAAAAUACCACUGAGCCUCUUUUUUACGCAUUUUAACUUGUUCUGUUUAACAUUUAAAGGAGGAUCUGUAAGUUUUUAUAAUUAAAUUCAAGUGAAAUUGGUAUUCUCCUAUAGAUACAAAACAACAACAAAAAUAUAUGCUCAACUUCAGCCCAUUCAACACCUGGACAUACCACCACUACGUGAGAGUAUGUUCCUAAAAGAUGGUCUCCACCCUUCCUGCAGUGACAGCCAUGAUGACACUGGUACAGGAGUAAAUACUUGCAAGUGACUGGACUGACC